UACGUAGGGGGCUAGCGUUGUCCGGAAUCAUUGGGCGUAAAGCGCGUGUAGGCGGCCCGGUAAGUCCGCUGUGAAAGUCCAGGGCUCAACCCUGGGAUGCCGGUGGAUACUGUCGGGCUCGAGUCCGGAAGAGGCGAGUGGAAUUCCUGGUGUAGCGGUGAAAUGCGCAGAUAUCAGGAGGAACACCAAUGGCGAAGGCAGCUCGCUGGGACGUAACUGACGCUGAGACGCGAAAGCGUGGGGAGCAAACAGG
rnacentral:rRNA from 1 species